GAGUGGACCGGAGAAUCUCCAUUUUUAGAUUUCUCCCUCUACGGUUACAUAUCGUGCGGCUUGGGUUUUAAUUUUGCGUGCCGCCCAUUUCUCGGCGGGCAGCGUUCCGUCGGCUAUGUAGGCUCGGAUUGGCUCUAGCCAUGGGCUGUCGCAACCGUAUUCCGGCUGAUCCAUCUUUCCUUCUGGUGGAUCUUUGAUUUCCUCCGCAUCUUCGAUUUGUCCCUAAAUCAGAUUGGUGAUCACCGGCGGUCCGAUGCUCGGAUGUUCAAUGAAUUCCACUAGGAUUACCCGUUUUAGUCCUGGAUCCGAGCUUGACGCGAGCGCGGCCAAGGCAUCUGCCUGGGUGUUUUCCGUGCGAGGAAUUCUAGUGAGGGCGAAGUGGUUGAAGUCUUGGGCCAGGUCCUGGAC
rnacentral:lncRNA from 1 species